rnacentral:lncRNA from 1 species
CACACGUGGACGCUAGAGGAACAACUUAACAACCGCAAAAUAUUAGGUUUCUCUUUCCACCAUGUGGGUGCUGGGGAUCACUCAGGUUGUCCGGCUUGGCAGCGGCAACACUCAGCGCUGAGCCAUCUCUCCAACCCUCUGGUUCAUUUCUUAUCAGUACCGGAGAUACUGUGGGCUCUGAACACUCACCCUCCCUUGCUACAUCUCCCUUCCAAGACUCCAUGGGUUUCUCUGGCUUCUUGGAGCUGCUCUGAGGAACAAAAGAAAGAAGAUCUGAGAUGGUGCAGGAGACCCAUCGUAAUCUGCUUGAAUCUUCAGGGAAACAGUGGAGAAAUGCUGAUAACAGGUAGCAGAAGUCGGUGAGUGAAUAGGAAACUUUAUAAGCGUUCUGGAGAGACUGAUCGGUUUGCACAGCACCUACUCAUAGUAUAAGAGAGGGCCAACAGUGGAUAGCAGGGGCUCAGGAGCUUGUGCAAUGCAUUCAGUAACAGACAUUUAAAGAUACUAGAAAGACAGG